UACGGGGGGGGCAAGCGUUGUUCGGAAUUACUGGGCGUAAAGGGCUCGUAGGCGGCCCACUAAGUCAGACGUGAAAUCCCUCGGCUUAACCGGGGAACUGCGUCUGAUACUGGAUGGCUAGAGUUUGGGAGAGGGAUGCGGAAUUCCAGGUGUAGCGGUGAAAUGCGUAGAUAUCUGGAGGAACACCGGUGGCGAAGGCGGCAUCCUGGACCGGUAUUGACGCUGAGGCGCGAAAGCCAGGGGAGCAAACGGG
rnacentral:rRNA from 1 species